CACGACCAAUCCUGUGAACACGACGCCGAACUCAUGGGCCCUGCCGAGUACUUCCCCAGGGUGCUGACCCAUAAGUAUCACAACUUGUGCUCUGCGGAGCUGGGGCUCACGGCUCAGCAGCUCAGAGGUUCUGCGCGCUCUGGGCUCCUCGGACGCCAGCCUCAGCGCUGAGUACAGCAUCUGCCGGGAGGAGAAGGCGGUCAGGGAAUUCUUCGCCUGCGGCCUCCUCUUCAACGUGAUCGUGAGCAGCGAUCCUCCGAAGGAGAAAUUGUGCACGGCGUACAAGGAUCUGGAGAAGUGCACCAAUGACCUGCAGUGCAGCACCCAGUCGGACUUCAACACGCACUCGAAGCACGUGCUAGACGCGCUGCUCAGCCCGUACACGCAGUACUGCCGCGGCUUCGAGCCCGUCGAGGAGAAAAAUGUCACGGCGCAGCCGACAACGACGGGUCACGUGACCUACGUGGAGAAGUGCGACGAAGCCGCGCACUUGGAGAAGUACUUCCACUGCGGCCUAACGUUCAUAUUCAGCCUGCGAGACGCCAGGUUCCCCGACGAGUCACACCGCAACGGCCUGGUG